GGCCGACUAGCUCAGUUGGUUAGAGCGUCGUACUAAUAAUGCGAAGGUCGUCAGUUCAAUCCUGGCGUUGGCCA
rfam:Phlebiopsis gigantea 11061_1 CR5-6 unplaced genomic scaffold PHLGIscaffold_3, whole genome shotgun sequence.